rnacentral:lncRNA from 1 species
UUUGCUGUAUUCUGGCUGUGUCUCUCAGGAGCGAUCUACAUCCGGCUCCUGUCGGUCUGCACUUCUUUGCUUCAUCCAUGCAAGACCACUUUCAAAGUAAGGCUAGCAGUACAGGUCUUUUUGUCUCAUUUAGGAUAUUUUUGGGUUUUAUUGUUUCUUUAAGAGAAUGUCUUACACUGCAGAACAGGCUCACCUGUAACUCACUAAGCAGCCCAGGCUGACUUGAAACUUGCACUGAUUCUCUGCUUCAACCACCUCUCCGUCACACCAGAUGUUCCGAAACAAAA